rnacentral:lncRNA from 1 species
CGGAGCGAAAUUUUCAUCCAAACGAAAAUACAUUGAUCCAAACAAAAAAAAAAAGAGCCUACAACAACCAGUUGCAACGAAAGAUUUACAACAAAAGAAAAAAGACCCUAAAACCCUAAAUCAACCACCGAAACCAUAAAGAGUCCUUCCUUGUCUCUUGAGAGCAUAAACAACGUCCAUAGCGGUAACAGUUUUACGCCUAGCGUGUUCCGUAUAGGUAACAGCAUCGCGUAUAACGUUUUCCAGAAAGAUCUUGAGAACUCCACGAGUUUCUUCGUAGAUCAGGCCACUGAUCCUCUUCACACCGCCUCUACGAGCUAACCUACGAAUCGCCGGCUUAGUGAUGCCUUGAAUAUUAUCUCGGAG